rnacentral:rRNA from 1 species
UACGGGGGGGGCAAGCGUUGUUCGGAAUUACUGGGCGUAAAGGGCUCGUAGGCGGCCAACUAAGUCAGACGUGAAAUCCCUCGGCUUAACCGGGGAACUGCGUCUGAUACUGGAUGGCUUGAGUUUGGGAGAGGGAUGCGGAAUUCCAGGUGUAGCGGUGAAAUGCGUAGAUAUCGGGAGGAAUACCAGUGGCGAAGGCGGCCUUCUGGACGGAUACUGACGCUGAGGCGCGAAAGCCAGGGGAGCAAACGGG